UGGAGAGGAGAGAGAGAUUUCCUGCUUCCUUGAGGCUUGAGUCAGCGUAGAGUGUGGGCCCAUUCCCAACAGCAUCUCCUCUCGCCCGGGAUUCGCAAAAGAGGAGAAGUUCUCAAAGCAACGCCAAAGACCUGCAAAGCUCCUUCAUCCCUACUCUUUCCCUCCAGCAAUACACAAAGCCUAGUCCAGAUGGUUCAACUUCAGUCAGGCGACCAUUUUGGAAAAUGGCCUCUGAGGACAACUUUACCUCAGCCAGAGAAAAGAGGCAGCCUGUGGCAGAUGCAGAGGGAGGACUUCUAGAUCCUUCCAACCAGCUACAUCCAAUGGAACCCUGGGCAAAAAGCUCUGGAAACUCUUCAGGUUCCAGUUGUGUGGAUGGUCUUCACGCCUCUUCUUGUAGGCCUUUCCCUUCCGCCCAGUCAACCUUCACUGAGAUACCUCAGAACCAAGAGGCAUCUUCCCUGAGGCCUGUCAGGCGUUUCAUUCCGCCAUCUUGGAAGUCCUUCUUUCAAAGACGGCGGCGAAAGCCCUGGGAGGAGCCUUAUAUUUUGACCUACUCUCCAGAAGGCAUCACGGCUUCCCCACCAGUGUCUCCCUUGCUAGAACACCCACGCAGAACCACAUUUGAUGUGGAAGAGACUUCCAGCGAUGAGGGCCAGGGUGAUUUCAAGAAGCCACCCUCAGACUCCACCGGCCCUUCAAAAUCCGGGAAGUCGGUGACCCCCACAAGCCAUGGUGACCUCUCAAUGGGUCCACCAAGCUACAAGGAGAAGUUGGAGGCCUAUAACCACAAAUAUGCAUACAUGAAGUCAUGGCCCGGCCUCCUGAGGCUGAUGGGGGGCCUAGAGCUUAUCAUGGGGGGGAUGGUCUUUGCUUGCACUGCGGCAUAUAUCCAAAAGGACUAUCAGUGGUCCCAACUUUAUGGCGGCAAUCUGCCCUCCAGCGGCAUCUUCGGGGGAGGAUAUGGCUACAACUACUAUGGCCCGAUGACCCCCUUUGUCUUGGUGGUGGCCAGUCUGGUAUGGCUCGUGACUGUGAUCCUGCUAGGCCUUGGCGUGACCAUGUACUACAGGACAAUCCUUCUGGACUCUCACUGGUGGCCCUUGACGGAGUUUGCCCUCAACCUCAUCAUGUUCCUGCUGUACAUGGCGGCUGCCAUUGCCUACGUCAACGACGUCAACCGUGGCGGCCUGUGCUACUCUCUCUUUGCAAACAACCCGCUUGUCGUGGCUCUGUGCCGGGUCGAAGGGGGUCAGGUGGCCGCCAUUGCCUUCCUCUUCGUCACCAUGCUGCUCUACCUGGUUGGCUCCCUCGUCUGUCUUAAGAUGUGGAGGCACGAAGCUGCUAGGAAGAUCAUGGUGAAACUGCAAGAACCGAUCUUCUUGAGAGUGGAACCAAAAGAUGCCCUUUCCCGAGAGGAAACCCACCCACCAGGCAAGGUCACCAGGCACGUUGAGUUUUCAGAGAUGGCUGAGGAUCUAGAGAUGUUGAAUUAUGCCAUCCCGACAGGCCACAACCCCAAACCACACGUGAUUCCAGAUUACAUAAUAAAGUACCCAGCCAUUGAAAGCAUGGAUGGCCGGGAAAAAUACAAAGCUGUCUUCCAGGAUCAAUAUGCAGAGUAUAAGGAACUGCACUGUGAAGUCCUUGCAGCACUGCAGAAAUUUAAGGAGCUGGAAACCCUGAUGUCCAAGUUGCCUCGUCGCUAUCAAAACAAGAAGGAGCAGAGCCGAAUUUCCACCGUGCGGAAAGAAUAUGAGAGCAAGAAGCAGGACCCCACCUUUCUGGAAAAACAGCAGCGCUGCGAAUAUCUGAAGAGGAAGCUCACCCACAUCAAGGGGCAGAUUCAAGCGUAUGACCAAGAGACAAACAAGAACGAGGGUGCCGUCUUCUUCUGAGCCUCCAGAGAUGUGAGCAAUGACUUCUAGACACAGCACUGUCUUGGAUCCAUCUCAUGGACUUGGGUACAUAGGGAACAGGAAACUGCCUUCUGCUGAGUCAGACUCUUGUUCCAUCUAGCUCAGCAUUGCCUGCACUGAUUGGCAGCGGUUUCUUCAAGGUGCCGGGCAGGAGUCUCUCCCAGUACUUCCUGAAGAUGCCAGGCAUUGAACCUGGGACUUCCCUCAGGCCCCAUCUAAGCAGAGGACUUUGCAUCUCCUUGGGGGCUUUUUUGGGGGGGGGAGAGACAGGGGAUACAAAUCAGUGCUGCUUCAGCUGCAGAGACUUGGUCUCUUGUCAGAAAUUCUGCAAGCAUUUGCCCAGCUGGACUGGAAUGGCUAAUGUGGAGAGUGAUGGAGAGAAAGCGGCUUGCAUUCCCUGAGUCACAACCAAAGGGACUGAAUGGAUAUCAAUGUUCAGGAAGAUGACCAUCCCUCCUCUGCUUGAAAAUCUCCAAUGAAGGAGAGCCCACUACUGGACCGUUCCAUUGACCAACAGCUCUUAGGAACCACUUCCAAACAAAAUAGCAGAUUUGUCUCUUGUUCAUAAACAAUAAAGCAGAUUGA